CUCAUGCAUGCCACCCCCACUCCCACUCCCAUUGGGGACCAAGCCCACAACUGGGCAUGUGACCUGACUGGGAAUCAAACUGUGACCUCCUGGUUCAUGGGUCAAUGUUCAACCACUGAGCCACACCAGCUGGGAAAAACUUGUUGUUUUAAGAUGCUAAGUUUUGGGGUAAUUUGUUACUCAGCAAUGGUUAACUACUUACUCUAUUGCCACAUUAUCACAUUAGAUCCUCAGAACAAAUGUGAAAGGUAGAAUUUUUCUCCCAUUUUUCAGAUGAGAAAACCAAGGCUGAGAUGAGUGUAGUGACUUCCCACCCCUGGGAAGUGGCUGAGCUGGAAUUUUCCCCAUGUCUAUUGGGUUCCAAAUCAUAGGGAAGCUGGUUCUGUUUCCUUAGCUGGAAUGUCUCCAGCUCCAGGGUGAUGUUUGAGAAAUCGAGGACAGGAGGAUGUGGUCUCUUUAUCUGAGGUGUUUCUCUCCCCCUUUUCAUUUUAAUCACAUUAGUUUGCAGCUAUGGCAUCUCUUGUGUAUAUGUGAGUCAGUGACAAGUAGGUUUAUUAGAAAAAAACAUCAGAGUUUUAUAAGGGGGAUACUUGGGCUCUUGAGUGACCUUGGAUAAGUUCUUACACUCUUGUAGGCCUGUUUCUCUAUCUCCUUUAUGGAGAUAAUAACCCCUGUUCCUCAUUCCUUACCAGGGAACCUUGAGUAUCCAGUACAAAGGGACUUUGUAAAAAUGUCAAGUAUUGUGAUCCCAGAAAGGUUUGCUUUGAGUCAGGAGCAUGCCUCACCCAGUUUGCCUUGAGGUAGCCCCUCACAGUCUGCAACAGUGACCUGUGCUCCCUCUUAUCUCCCACCUGCAUCUAGGUUCAGGAGACAGAAUACUGGGAGAAAUUGAGAGCCCCAACCCACUUCUUGAAUCUCAGCCUUCACUAUCAUCUUCCUCUUCAGCAAGAUUGCAGCCCUCCUGAAGUAGUGGAAAUUCCCCAAGCUUUUCUGCAUGCUGAGCCUCUGUCUUUGCAGUUUCUUCUCUCUGGGCACCAUUCUCAGUAUUCCACCUGGUGUGUCACUACUCAUCUCUCAUGACUCAGAUGUCCCCACUUUCAGGAGACCUCUUGACCUGGUUCAAAGCCUGCUUCUCCUCUGCAUUAGUGCACCAGCCUCCUGACUGAGCACGUGGACUCCAGCUUCUCUUUUCUACUUAACAGCCCUCGUGGCACAGCCAGCAGUCUUUCUAAAACACACAUCUUGUCAUGUCACUCCCUGCUUAAAAUAACCGCCCAAUGGAAUAAUCCAUCCAUCAAUGUUUCAGAAGCUCCUCCUUGCUCUCGGGAAAACAUCCAAAGCCUCCAGCUGGAACUCAAGGCUGGCUCCCCACUGGUGUCUCCAGCCUCAGCUCUCCCCUCUCCUGAUCGCCCUGCACAGGUGGUACAUCCUAGCCGCAUUGAUCUCGUUCCAUAACUCAGACAUGCCUCGCUCUCUUGUGCCUUCUGAUCUGCUGGUCCCCUUGUUUUCCAUGCCCAUUCCCAUCUUAGCCACCUAGUGACUUCCUGCCUAAUGUAGAAGGCCAGCUCUGAUUUAAUCCCUUCUGGGAAGUCUGCCCUGGGGAUCCCAGGAAGAGUCCAUGGCUGCUUCUUCCCUCUCCUAUAUGACUUCUCAAGCUGUUGUUACUGUUGGUCAGCUUGCCUGCUUACACUAGAAGUUUCUUGUAUCUGACACAUGGUUGGGUCCCCAGCAGGGUCAGCACAGGUACUUGGAGCAGUCAUGUAGGAUUCGUUGGCUGGUUGAAUGAAGGAAGAAAUGAAUGGUGAAUGAAUCCAUCCUUGAACCAUCGCUUCUUGGCCAGCCUCAGAACUGUUAUUUUCCAGGGCAAGCCCAUUUUAUAGCAAAAGGGGAAGCAGAAAGGACUGCUUUGGAGUGGAGAAAAUCAAUAAAAUGUAAAUCUGGGUAAGAAAAGCUGUCCCAGAUUGGCUGUGAGGAGAGAUAAGACUGGGAUGAUGAGCCCCGGUUGACAAUAAAAGAGAUUAGGGGACAAGCAGAGCUGCAGCCAGGGCAGGGCAAAGGGAGUAUCUCCCUUCAUUGGUACCCCCCCCCCCCCGUCUUUGCCACUUUCCCUGCCCCCAUGCUCUAUGCACUCCUUCAGUUCUCUCAGGGAUCCUAGAUAGAGACGGAAACUUAAAAAAUGUUGAUCAUCAAAUGCACUCAUUUGGUCUUUACAAACUUUUGGGAAACAGGAGAUAGGAACGAUCAACCUCAUUUUCCUUUCCUCCGGUGAAGAAACGGAGGUGUAGAGAAGUUAAAUCACUUGUUCAGGGUCACACCAUGAAUAAGUGCCAGAGUCAAUAUCUGAGUUUAAAUCUGACUCUAAAACGCUGUCCUUUUCCCUCCAUUGCACUGGAGGUCUUGAGCCAGGCUUCAACGGGUCCCCAGCCUCUGAAAUCAGAUGCACAAUUGUGUUUAUGUGCAUUUUUUUAAUGGAGGGUUUAUAUCUUGUAUCGUCCAGGGUGAUUGUCACCCAUCACCUUGCCUAUCCCAUGUUCCCUCCCUGGAGGAGGCCUCUGAGCUGAGUAUAGCAGAUUGGGAUACAGUGGAGUGGGGCGAAGGCCAGCUGGGUAGAGAAGAGCACAUGUAAGGGUAGAAUAGGAAGAAAGAAUUCACUAGGUCUAAAGGAUGCUGAGGGAGGGAGCUGUGGGUUCUUGCUUCUCAUUCAUUUGUGCUCCAAUCAUGGCUCCUGGCUCCCAACUUCUAAGGAGCAUCUGCCCCCCCUGCAAGGUCGAAGCAUGGGCCUACAGGUCAAAGGAACUCCAGGCCAGGCUUCAGGAUAUCCGCUCUGCCUCAGUCCUGUCCUCUGCUGGACUUGAUCACCUGUAGAACCUUGCAAGAAAUUUCACACCUUCUCCCGAGCACACAAGUCAAUUGCGUGUGGUUCCUUGUGGACCAGCAGCUAAUAUUAGGGAAGAGGGCUGCACCCUGGGUCCCUCCGUCUCUGGGAGCCCCUUCAGUCCUUACCUGCUCCACUUCUGGCUCUCGGCCCACGUCUCUCUUACGAUGAUUCCUGGAGUCUCCUCGCCCUGACCAGCCUGAGAGGUUUUAAGCACAAGGACCUCAACUUCUUCAAACCUCUGCUGAAUGUACAAUAGAUUCAGCAUCAAUACCCAGCUUGAUGGGGCCUCUGCAUGUGUUCACAUUGUCAUGUUCUCAGGAAAUUUGCAAAGCCAUCGCUGCAUUUAGGUAAAUCAUUGCCAGCCACCUCUAUGUACAGAGUGGCUUCUAGGAAUCUUCCUUUCACACUGUCCAUCUCACUCAGAAUUGUGACAUCAAGAUGUCCAAUCCUGAGGUCAUCUCAUGGCAUGAAUGUAUUUCAUGCCACCUGGCCCUGGGAGAACAUGGGCAAUGGAGGAGAAACAGGUUGAAAAUGUACAGAAACAGAAGCUAAUCUGUGGGAAACCCUUCCACUUGGGGGGUUGGGCAGGUGACGGGGGAAUGUAUUUUAGAGGUGUGCAUGGCAGAAAUGCCCUGUGCUAUUUUUCUGAAUUGUGUGACAGUUGUUUUGACUUUUUUCUCAUUCUAAAUAAAUACUCAUUUUCUUACCUC